UGUCCAGGGAUGGGAACCCCCAGUGUUCCGCUUACCAGGCAGAUGCCAUGUCCACUAGGCUACCUAUCCUUGGAC